UCUAUUUUGGGGGGUGGGCUGGGAUGGGGGCCUGAGGGGAAAAUCCCAACAUUUCUACCAUUCUGCCUUCCACCUCUCUUCCUUGAGUGGAGAAGGAAUUGCAAAUCUUAUUGGUCAGAAGCUGAGAUGCUCACUAAGCCAAGUUCUACUAGUGCGUGGGGACCACUGGGCUUGGAAGACAUACAGCUCUGCCCGACCUUCUUUUUCGCCUCUUGCAUCUUUGCAUACCAGGCCUUCUUCCUACGUUCAGUUUUGCUUCCAGCUUCUCUGGAGAGGGCCUAUCUGUUAAAGAUGGAACCAGUCAUUCUUUUUGUCUUGGUUUAGGUUUCCCAAGAAACAGACCCUGAAACAAGGAUAGGAGUGGAAGUAAUUUCUUUGGGAUGGUGAUUCCAGGGUUCAAGAUAGGGAAGUGGGAAAGUGAGGCAGGGAGGAGAAUAGGGUCACAAAGGGUGUGUUAUCAAGGAAGUCAUCCCUGUGGGCACUUGGACCUCAGUUUCACUUGGGACAUCUAGCGUAGACUAUACAUCUAGGAGUUAUCCCCUCCAAGGGUGGAGUGCUGAUAAAUGACACACCAACCCCCAUCCAUCACUUGUUAAGGUAUCCUUUUAUGGGGUGUCAAUCCUCUGGUACUUCCAGACAGCCCUGAAAGUGUAGAGCCAGAAAGGCCAUCAGGCAAAGAGAUGCAGUUGUCAUGGGCCAGGUGUCAGGAGCAUCUGCUCUGCUUCCUCUCUCUAUUGCGUGACUUCUCCAUUUGUAGUUGAGUGGGAUCCACCACUUGUCCACACGGUCAGUGGAAUCCUGUGCCACAGACCCAGGUGACCGAGACGCAAGGAAGCAGGAAUGCAGAAACCUCACUUCCCAUCAGAGCCACGCUCUCCAGUCCAGCCUGUGCCUCAGAAGCCCUGCACUAGAGAUGGGGGCACCUUUGGGUGCUUGUCCAGUGGUUAAUUAAGCUGAUAUUUUGCAACUCACCUGGUUCUUUCACUUGUGGCUGCCCCUCCCUUGUCAGGAGUCUCAGGAGGGGAGAAGGCGUGGAGUGUAGGAUUUGCAGGACCCAAAUCCGAAUUCCAGCCUGUGGUGUGUAUGUUAGCCAUCUUUUGCUUUCCUGUUUUUCAGAUUGUCCAUUUUGAAAAUUAUAGUAUUCUGUUACGUGAAGGCAGGAGAUUUUACAGAGAAGAGCAGGAAAGUUUUCCUUCUUUUAAACUUAAAUUCAAUAGCAGCUUCAAAAAAAAAAAAAUCACAGCAGCCCCGUUCAAGCUCGUGAGCCAUGACAAGCAGAGGUUAAGUUUGGAUUUCAUUCAAAAGUCUACAUUCAUUUAUGCUUCCUCUGUGAGAUAAAGUAACCAAUUUCAAAUUCGGCUGUAGGUCUCCAAUUACGUAUCUUUUUUAAACAAACCCACAAUUCUAACAGAUGAGAGCUGUGUGAUAUCUUUCUCCCCUUCUCAGAAUUGAAGUGCACACUGAAAAGUCCAUCACACGUUUAGCUACCAAUGUUUAAGUAAAUUCUUCCUCUAUGGAAUGAGAAAUGUCAACCUUAGGCUAAAUGUGCUGUGUUUAAAUUUUAAUUGUAGCCACAAAUGUACAAAGACUCUAUAAAUAUACCUGUGUGCCUAGGAAGCUCUCCCAAGAAAGGUCAAACAGGAUGACAAUAGCAAAGGAGAAGUAAAGGGGAAGAGAGAUUCCCGUUAGGUAAAGGGAGCUGGUGCUAUUGAAAUUGACAAUGCAUGCAUUACUGAAGGGUAAGAGAGUGCUAUUUUUGCUUGAGAAAUAAUAGGGCAUUAUAAUCAUCUUCUGGAAGAAGCUGUAAAGCUAGGAGGACAUGAUAGCUGUUUGAAAAGCAAUUAAGCCAUCUCCAAGUCCUCUAGGACUGAAAAUAAAUGCUGGAAGAAAUGCAAAUAGCUUGCAGCCCCCAUCAUGUGUCAGCCCUUCACCAGCCCUGAGCCCUGCCAGAGCUGAUGAAGGGCAUUUGGUGAAAUGUUACAUGGGAAGCAGGGGCAUGCAGAGCUAGAGCAUGAAGCAAAAAGACUGUGUUUAAGAUCAUGGAGAAAGGGAUUUGUCAAUGGUCAUUUGUAACAGGCUGAUUGCAAAACAGAUGUUCUCUGUGCUGUGUCAUAAGGUGUUGGGUAUGCGUGUCAGGAUAAGUUCACACAGACCCAUUUUUCAGGUGUCCAGCUCUACCUAAUGGUUCCUUACAAAACAAAUACAACCUAGAGUGGACUCGGAAAACAAGCACAACCAAAGGUAAUUGCUUAGGCCUUCCUAGGAUUUGUUAUUCUUUCAAACUUCAUUUAUCGAUGAGUAUCACCCCUUACAGCAGACUUUCUUAACCUGGAUGCUAUUGCCACUUGGUUCUGGAUAAUUCUUGGUUGGGGGCUUUCUUGUACUUUAUAGGAUGUUUAGAAGCAUCACUGGCUUCUGCCGACUAGAGGCCAGUAGUGCCCUGCUCCAGUUGUGACAAUCAAAAAUGUCUCCAGAUACAAAUGAACUUAUUUACAAAACAGAAACAGACUCACAUAGAAAACAAACAUGGUUACCAAAGGGAGAAGGGGGUGGGGGAAGGAUAAAUUAGGAGUUUGGGAUUAGCAGAUACAAACUAAUAUAUAGAAAAUAGAUAAAAAAAACAAGGUCUAGGGCUUCCCUGGUGGCGCAGUGGUUGAGAGUCCGCCUGCUGAUGCAGGGGACACAGGUUCGUGCCCCGGUUCGGGGAGAUCCCACAUGCUGCGGAGCGGCUGGGCCUGUGAGCCAUGGCCGCUGAGCCUGUGCGUCCGGAGCCUGGGCUCCGCAACGGGAGAGGCCACAGCAGUGAGAGGCCCGUGUACCGCAAAAAAACAAAACAAAAACAAAAACAAAAACAAAACAAGGUCUUACUGUAUAGCACAGGGAACGCUAUUCAAUAUCUUGUAAUGACCUAUAAUGGAAAAGAAUCUGAAAAAGAAUAUAUAUGUAACUGAAUCACUUUGCUGUACACCUGAAACUAACACAGCAUUGUAAAUCAACUAUACUUCAAUAAAAAGAAAAAUGUCUCCAGACAUUGCCAAAUGUCUCCAAGAUUGGGGGAUGGGGUCAAAGUACCCUCAGUAGAGAGCCACCCUAACAGAUCAAGUAGGAAUCCAGACUUUCUUUCCUUUAAACGUAUUCCAGUGUGGUGCCGAGGACGGCCUGUGAUCUUGAAGCUAGGUUGUCUGGCUAUAGCUCCCUGUCCCUACAUUUUACAAAAAAGUGAUCUGGGAUGCUGAGUCUUAUGCCUUCAGCCCCUGGAGGGGGCUGUGGGUUGUAUUAACUGUUUUCUAGAGAAGCUUCUACUCUGAGCUCAAGGUGCUAUUGCUGCUUUCCUAUAUAAAUGAAUUAAAUCAACUAAAACAAUCUAUAAACUCUGCAGGGCUCCAUAUGCAAGGAAAACAUGAAAAAUGAGUCUGAAAGUGAAAAGUCAGUGAUGCCCUAAUGUGUGAAUUUUAAAAUCAGUUGAAUUUAUUACAAGGUCAGCAGUAAUGGUGUAUUAAUACCCCGAUCUAUGCCAUGGGACAAGCAGAUUUUUAGAGUGUGUGUGAUGGAGGGGAGGGGUGGAGUGUGUAGUAGAGUCCGUCUCAGGAGGCGCCCCAUACUGUUGAUUCUGAAUGCUGUGAAGGACGCUCACGCCCUGACUUGCAGGCUCAAGUUUAGAAACUUCUCUCUGUAGGCCAGAUCCCAAGUUCACCAGUAGAUGUCACCCUGGUCCCACCAAAGUUUCUCACUGACGCACACCAGAAAGUUUCAGGGUCCAUGGAAGCAGGUUGAGGAGGAAAUCAGAGACGAGAUUAGCCUCCUCUUGGUCACAAAGGAUAAAGUAGGGAUAGGAUGCUGUGAGGAUGAAGUGAAAUGGAGGACCUUGUGCAGAGCUGGGGCUACAGAAGAUAAAGUUGGUGCACCCCCGAAACACCCCUGAACGCCACUGUAGUGUUGUUCAUGCAUCUCAGCACCUAUGGCCUCCUCCAGUCUGCUUUGCCCUAAGGUAGAGAGAACCAGAACUGCCUGGAGAUGAUGUCCCACCACUGCAACCCUUAAACAAUGACCAAUGGGCCAGAAGAACGCUCAGCCACCUUGACUCGGUCUGGAUGGCCCCCGAAAUGUCACUUCCUGCACCUGAGCCCUGGGUGGGUGGAGGCUGGAGCAAUGGCUUCAAGGCCUUGCCUGGUUUGCUCCUUGUUGAACUGCACCCCGCCAAACCGUCCCCCCUGUCUCCCCCUGCCGCCUUCCUGCUGCCCCUGUCUCCCUCACCUGCUUCCCCUUGGAAGUCAUUCUUCCAUAAAUCACUGUACAUGAAACCUCAUCUCAGGGUCUGCUUCUGGGGAACCUCAUCUAAGACACUGGUUUACAGUUGAUGCGCAAAAAAAGUUGGUUCCUUUCCCCCGUGAUCAUCUAUCUGUCUGCUUCAGGUAACAGUGGGAUUUACCCAGAGUGGCCCCAGCGCGCCCCUGCCUUUUCCUGAAGGAGGACCAGCAUCGCGAGUCUAUCCAGCUGACCUGUUCUCUGUCUGCUGUCCCUCUGAGCCCGGCUGAGGCUGGUUCUGGGAACCAAUGUGUCUCUUGUGGUCCUUGGGAGUCAAGAUUCAAGCAUUUCAGAUAGAUAAGUCUGCUUGUUGAAGAAAUGAGACUUUUUUCUUCCUAGUGCUGGCUCCUACGUCUUCUUUCCAUUCAGAGCUGAAAUACCCACUCCCUCCAGAGAUUUGUUUAAAUACUACAUGAACUAGCUUCCUAUUUCCCUGUAUUGAACUGGAUCCAUGAGGGCACAGCCAAUAAACACGAGAAGCAAUAAAUGCCCACACUUAUCAAGGGUCAGGAGCGCGUGACACCCAAGGCACUGACACCUUCAAUUUGCCUUUUUCUAAGCCUAUGAAAUAGUCUAGGCUUUUCGAAAACUUGACUGCACAAAACCAGCUGCUGAAUGUAACCACACUGUGAACGACGAACUAAGUCAACUGUGACUCAAGUAUUUUUCACACAAACUGUGUCUUCACAAAAGCCACUGGGGCAGGGAAGGGGGUGGGGACGCUAAAAUAUGGAUGCUUGCGGUAGAAGUUGACUGGAGGCCUGACCAUCCUGGCAAUCCCCUCAGUGACUCCGUUUCACUUUGCCAUUUCACACAGCAAGUUGGAAGAAACCCUUGUUAGGCCUGGUUAGGAAAGGGUCUUAUGAAUUCACUGCCAGGAAUGGAAAAGAUGGAUCUCUAAUCUUAAUAUCUGAUGGGGAUUCUGAUUUACCUCUUGCAGGUUUGCAGAGAGCAAAAGCAGCUUGCCUGGGACUCUCCUGGCAGUCCAGUGGUAAAGAAUCCGCCUUCCAACGCAGGGGACGCGGGUUCGAUCGCUAGUUGGAGAACUAAGAUCCCACAUGCCGGGGUGGGGGGCAACUAAGCCCAUGUACCACAACUACUGAGCUCGCGCGCCUCAACUAGAGAGCCCAUGUACCACAAACUAUAGAGCCCAUGCGCCCUGGAGCCCGCGCCACAGCUAGAGAGAAACCUGAGCAGGCCACGCGCCCUAACGAAAAAGAUCCCGCACGCCACAAAAAGAUCCUGUGUGCUGCAACUAAGACCCAACGCAGCCAAAAAAAAAAAAAAAAAAAAAAAGAAAUAAGGAAAAUAAAUAAA